rfam:Bombyx mori DNA, contig: Bm_scaf39_contig22907, strain: p50T/Dazao, build 2, whole genome shotgun sequence.
UUAACUCAAAUUUGUAUGGAGUUGGAACGUUUUCCUAUGUUUGCCGAUAGGGGCGCUGUUCCAACUGCAUACCAAUUUUAGUUU